GGAGGCGGGCAGACACUGAACAGGCUGGGGAUUCUCACAAACCGAAGGACGGUUGAUAUCCAUCCGCUGCUGCCUGCAGCACACUACCACCACCACCACCCUGAACUAGGGAUCCUAUCCCCCACUGCCAGUCGUCCCCAGGUCCCUUUUAUUGCGGUGCCAGCAAUGAGGGGGUGGUCGCCUCGGAGGUCCGCAGAGGCGGGCUGCUGUGAGCCCGCCCCUUAGGCUGGCGCACCUCCUGGCCCCGCCCCCCGUGGGUCGGAACUAGGGUGGGCCAGGGAGGGGGCGUCUAGCCCAUUCGUGCUGUAUCCCUCCGCCCCCCUUCCCGACACCCUUGGUGAGAGCGGUUCGUGCGGCAUCCUGCGCAGCCCCUGCCCAGUUUGGUGCUGCAGCGCGGGGGGGCGGGACGCCUUUUUGCGAUUCUGACAGCACGCUAGGUGGUGGGAGUCCGAGUGAGGAGCUCCGAGAAGAGGGGGAGGACAACAACCUGCACCUUGAGCCUGUGAAGGGUGUGACUCUUCUCCAGCUAAAGAACUGUUCUUUGGUGUAAAGGAUAGAAUUUCCUGAGGACCCCUGCUGUGUGGGCUGGCUGAAAUAGGUGGCAGUGAGGUAGGAUAUAUGUUUGCAUGGGGAAAGUGGAAGGGUAGGGGCAUGCAAAGAUGGUAUUAAAAUAAUAGUCCUGUUAUCUUCACUGACUGCUUUCAAAAUACAGUUGCUCACUAUCUACUGUUGCAUCUCAUAUUUUGUUCAGGAAAAGAGGUGUAGUCUCUGCUGGGAAAAUAACCAAAUUCAAAAUUGGAAGGAAGUAUAAUUAGACAAGUUGCAGGUCUUGGGGGGAAUUGAUGUGGAAUCAUUUGGUAGGAUCAGACAGGUGGGAGACAUUUAACAUGGCCUUAAAUAAACAAAAGUCUGUAUUAUAAUGCUUGUGAUGGCUGUUGGGCUAGCUCAAUCUCUUCUGGUUUCUCUUUUGUCUUUUUAUCUAUUCUUAAGUUUGUUCCUUUAUAGGUUCCUGUAGAAAUAUGUAGAUAGUUGUUCACUUUGAAUUAAGAAAAAAAGACGCAAACUAUUCAUUUGGAUUCAAGGUGAGUGUGAGCAUGAGCAUGUGUAAUGAUUGGGGAUGUAAAUAGGCUAUUGGCAAGCCUAAAACAUAUCUUGGAGCCAUUGUCUUCCAACUUUACAGAUAACCUCUAUCCUCACAUUUGGGUAUAGAAAAUGAGGAUAAAUGAAGCCAGUAUUGUGCCUACAGGGUAAUUGAUAGAUACCCAGGAAAUGGGGUAGGAAGCCAUGAGGAGGACCAAAGAGACCAGAAAUGUUAUAUAACCAAAGUUCUAGAUUUGGAAAGACAGACACUUGGUUUAUAAUCCAGAGUAAAUAUCUUGUCUACCAAAUGCUCAGAAUUCCAACUCUCCUGUAUUUUUGUCCAAAAGUCUGCCUGUGAAUUGGCUGUAGGGCUUUUGAUCCUAGAAGUAAGGAAGGAGGAGGAAAUCGUACCAGAUCAGUACAGGUUGGUGUGAGACUUACCUGGAUAGACCUGUAGCAUAUAGUAUACCUAAGGGCCUGGAUGUUUCUUAGCCUCUUUCACUUUCAGCAAACUUUUCCAUCAUCCCUGCUCCUAUGUGUUGUAGAGAAAAGAAUGCGUUAGUGCCUGGGUAGGAUAUUGUUGGGCAUGAGUGUGGGAGUGUGGAAGGGAUAAAAUGAGGGAAUAGAGUUUUCUACUAUUCUACCUCACAAUCCAUUUCUAUUCUCUCAUAUCAUGUGUGGCUCUCUGCAUAGUAAAGCACAGUUGGAAGAGACUUAAAGCUUGUUUUCUUCUUCCACCUCAGGUCCAUCUCCAGUGGUGGCUGUAGUGGCCUUGUAGUGGCAGAUCAUCACCUUCAACAGGUCUGCACUCAGGAACUAUCAUCUUCGCUCAGACUAAGUGCCUCUGUCUUUUCUCUGUAUUGUUGACAGAGGUUCUGUGUUUGGAAAGGGGACUGUGUGACUGCUGAGCUGAUGACUGACUCUUGCCACAAAGUUUAUGUCUGAUCCAGUGAAAGAGUGUUAAGACAUUGACCUGGGACACAUUGAAAACCAAGGCCAAGACUGUAUAGAGCUAUC
ensembl:lncRNA